rnacentral:rRNA from 1 species
CAAUAGCGUAUAUUAAAGUUGUUGCAGUUAAAAAGCUCGUAGUUGGAUUUCUGGUCGGAAGCUCCUGUCCUCUGAUGAGCGUACAAGUGCGUCCUACCAUCCUUCUGUUAACCUUUAAGGCUUUCGCGGCUUUCUAGGGGCUCAGAUAUUUUACCUUGAGAAAAUUAGAGUGUUUCAGGCAGGCUAGCGCCGGAAUACAUUAGCAUGGAAUAAUAAGAUAGGACUUUGGUGCUAUUUUGUUGGUUGAGCCUAAAGUAAUGAUUAAUAGGGAUAGUUGGGGGCACCUGUAUUGCGUUGUCAGAGGUGAAAUUCUUGGAUUUACGCAAGACAAACAGCUGCGAANGNGUCUGGNAAGGAUGUUUNCAUUA